UACGAAGGGGGCUAGCGUUGCUCGGAAUCACUGGGCGUAAAGCGCACGUAGGCGGCUUUCUAAGUCAGGGGUGAAAUCCUGGAGCUCAACUCCAGAACUGCCUUUGAUACUGGAGAGCUUGAGUCCGGAAGAGGUGAGUGGAACUCCGAGUGUAGAGGUGAAAUUCGUAGAUAUUCGGAAGAACACCAGUGGCGAAAGCGGCUUCCUGGUCCAGCACCGACGUUCAGGCACGAAAGCGUGGGGAGCAAACAGG
rnacentral:rRNA from 1 species